rnacentral:rRNA from 1 species
AUUGAACGCUGGCGGCAGGCUUAACACAUGCAAGUCGAGCGGGGUGAUGGUGCUUGCACUAUCACUUAGCGGCGGACGGGUGAGUAAUGCUUAGGAAUCUGCCUAUUAGUGGGGGACAACAUCUCGAAAGGGAUGCUAAUACCGCAUACGUCCUACGGGAGAAAGCAGGGGAUCACUUGUGACCUUGCGCUAAUAGAUGAGCCUAAGUCGGAUUAGCUAGUUGGUGGGGUAAAGGCCUACCAAGGCGACGAUCUGUAGCGGGUCUGAGAGGAUGAUCCGCCACACUGGGACUGAGACACGGCCCAGACUCCUACGGGAGGCAGCAGUGGGGAAUAUUGGACAAUGGGGGGAACCCUGAUCCAGCCAUGCCGCGUGUGUGAAGAAGGCCUUUUGGUUGUAAAGCACUUUAAGCGAGGAGGAGGCUCUUAAGGUUAAUACCCUUGAUGAGUGGACGUUACUCGCAGAAUAAGCACCGGCUAACUCUGUGCCAGCAGCCGCGGUAA